GACAGAGGGUGCAAACGUUGCUCGGAAUUACUGGGCGUAAAGCGCGUGUAGGCUGCUUCGCAAGUCGGGUGUGAAAGCCCUGGGCUCAACCUAGGAAGUGCACUCGAAACUGCGAAGCUUGAGUCCUGGAGAGGAAGGCGGAAUUCUCGGUGUAGAGGUGAAAUUCGUAGAUAUCGAGAGGAACACCGGUGGCGAAGGCGGCCUUCUGGACAGUGACUGACGCUGAGACGCGAAAGCGUGGGGAGCAAACAGG
rnacentral:rRNA from 1 species